AGCAGCCGCGGUAAUUCCAGCUCCAAUAGCGUAUAUUAAAGUUGUUGCAGUUAAAAAGCUCGUAGUUGAAUUUUAGGCCUGACCGGACGGUCCGUCUCUGGCGAGUACUGUUCUGCUGUCGGGUCUAUCCUUCUGGUGAGCCGGUAUGCCCUUUAUUGGGUGUGUCGGGGAACCAGGACCAUUACCUUGAAAAAAUUAGAGUGUUUAAAGCGGGCUUUUGCUUGAAUAGAUUAGCAUGGAAUAAUAGAAUAGGACGUUGGUUCUAUUUUGUUGGUCUAGGACCACCGUAAUGAUUAAUAGGGAUAGUUGGG
rnacentral:rRNA from 1 species